GCCCGGGGGGCUCAGUCGGUUAAGCGCCCGACUUCGGCUCAGGUCAUGAUCUCACGGUUUGUGGGUUUGAGUCCCGCGUCGGGCU
rfam:Felis catus isolate Cinnamon breed Abyssinian chromosome D1, whole genome shotgun sequence.